CGUACGUGCACCGAUAUCAGGCCCUACCCUCCGCCCUCCCUCCACAGGCUGUUUAAAAAUUUUCCAUACUUUCGACUAGGUUGCUGCUCAUUCCUGGUUGUGCUGGCAACAGGUCUGGCCGCGGCUUUGAUCAAGUGCUCCGCAGCUGCUGGGAACUACGGACUAUUGGUUGAUCGAAAGAGUCAUAAGGGAAAUAGUGGCCGAAUACUGCGCCAGGGAAGCCACUUCCUGUUCUGGAGACGGAGUGUUUGGCUAUGGCUCAUAGUGUGCCCUCACAACGGAUCAUCAUCAUUAGCGCCACGAUCGCGCUAGUUAUGGCCUGCGCGGGAGCAGAAAAUUGUACUACCGACAGUUGCAUAAAAAAGUGUAUCGCGGAAAAAUGGCAUUGGCAUACCGGCAUGUGUGUCUUAGGUACAUGCCUUUGCCGCAUGAAGUAUAGAAGCAUACUUUCUAGCGUGUCCGAAAUUGAUGAUUAAGAAAAGGAAUAUGAUGCUGA